CUUAAUAUUAACAACUACAUAAUAAAGUAAUUUUAACGUAUAACUACGUUAAUGAAAUUAUGUAACUUAACUGUAAUUUAUUACAUCAAGCGGAAUUAAAGAAUCCAUUAAAUCCAUCAAACGCAUCGUUACUCAUAAUACUGUUAAUUUUUAUUGAGAUGAAUGUACUGCGAUUAAAUUGAUGUACACUUAAUUAAUAUGCGCCUUUAGAUACGUUGUAUACCGCAUGUUCUUCUUCGCGAUCACUAUUCAAGAACCGUUGUCGAUAAACAAUUCAGUAACAGUUCUGUGAAUAACUUCGACAUGCCAUCUCGUCGUACGAAAACGUGUUAGAAAUAAAUAAUUUGUCAUUUUCUUCAUGAUUCAUGAUGAUCGAAAAGUACGAAAGUUUAAAAUAUCUACGAUUUCAAGAGGAAUCUAUCAGGAGCGUCAUAUUUUGGAGACAAAUUAAAAUGAAAAAUUGCUUUGGUGUAAGUUCACGCAGUCCAGCACCGAGCUGCACCUCGCUUAUCGCCGAAUAUAUGCCUGGAAUCUGGGCGCUGCAUCGUAAAUUCAACUGGCCG